UUCUUCGGUUUUGUUUUCCUCCUCCAUUUCUGUCUCGCUCUUUUUUUUGCCUUCAUCUCCUCAUUUCGUUCUUCUCCUUGGCUCGACAUUAGUUGGGAUCCUGGGGGUUUUCCUCUGUGUUGUUUGUGUGUUUGUCCUUUUGGUGGGCUUUGGGCGGGAGUUCACUUUUUCUUCUUCGAUUUUGUUUUCCUCUGCCGUUUCUGUCUCUCUCUCUCGCUUUUUUUUUUCUUUGUCUUCAUCUCCUCAUUUCGUUCUUCUCUUUGGCUCGAUUUUGGUUGGGAUCUUGGGGGUUUUCCUUUGUGUUGUUGGUGUGUGGGUCCUUUUGGUGGGGUUUGGGCGGGAGUUUAGGGAUUUUAUUUUCUUUCUCCUUUGGGUUCUGCUGAUGUUUUUAUUUGUGAUUAUAUGCUAUUUUCGUCCCUUUUUUAAUUAUGUUUCCUAUUUUGUGGUUUGUUUGAUUACUGUUCUUGGUUCCGUUCUUUAUGCAUUAUUCUUUGAUUAUAUAUUUUUGCUCUAAUUUUUGUCGGUUAUUUUUAUUCAGUUAUGUUUAUAGUUGCUAUAAUAGCUUUAUUUAUCAUCUUCUCUAAAGAAUUUAUUUUUGCAGGUGUUUUAUCUACUUUCGUGGCUUUUCUUCUGCUCUAUUUCACGCUGCAUAGGGAUAAUCUGUGUUCGUUCCUGGUUGGUUGAUAUCUUACGCUUAGCACUUUUUUCACAGUGAUCCAGGUUGGAAAGAAUUAGUAGGGAGACACAAAUAGGAGAUUGAAUAUAGAAAGAAUAAUGAGGAUGAAGUAAAUUGUAAAAUGCCAUGAGUUAGAAAAUAUGUAAACGUGCACAUGGAGUAGCAGAAGCCAAACAGAGACCAAGAUGUAUAUUUGCUGUCUGAGAUAUGUGUAUCCGAUAUAAAUAAGUGAGUAACUGACCUAGUAAUAUGUACAAUGACUAAGUAAUUAUUGUUGUUCAAUAAAAGUUGUAUUGUAGUUUUCUUGAAUA